rnacentral:rRNA from 1 species
GACGAACGCUGGCGGCGUGCUUAACACAUGCAAGUCGAACAGUGGCGAACGGGUGAGUAACACGUGAGUAACCUGCCCUCCACUUUGGGAUAACUCCGAGAAAUCGGGGCUAAUACUGGAUAGUGGGGUAUGGGCGCGCGGCCUAUCAGUUUGUUGGUGAGGUAGUGGUCACCAAGGCGUGACGGGUAGCCGGCCUGAGAGGGCGACCCGCCACACUGGGACUGGGGAACGGGCCAGACUCCUACGGGGGGCAGGAGUGGGGAAUAUUGCACGAUGGGCGAAGGCCUGAUGCAGCGACGCCGCGUGGGGGAUGACGGCCUUCGGGUUGUAAACCUCUUUCAGCAAGGAAGCGGUACUUGCAGAAGAAGCGCCGGCUAACUACGUGCCAGCCGCCGCGGUAAUUC